rnacentral:rRNA from 1 species
GACGAACGCUGGCGGCGUGCUUAACACAUGCAAGUCGAACGGAAAGGCCCUGCUUUUGUGGGGUGCUCGAGUGGCGAACGGGUGAGUAACACGUGAGUAACCUGCCUUGACUUUGGGAUAACUUCAGGAAACUGGGGCUAAUACCGGAUAGGAGCUCCUGCUGCAUGGUGGGGGUUGGAAAGUUUCGGCGGUUGGGGAUGGACUCGCGGCUUAUCAGCUUGUUGGUGGGGUAGUGGCUUACCAAGGCUUUGACGGGUAGCCGGCCUGAGAGGGUGACCGGCCACAUUGGGACUGAGAUACGGCCCAGACUCCUACGGGAGGCAGCAGUGGGGAAUAUUGCACAAUGGGCGGAAGCCUGAUGCAGCAACGCCGCGUGCGGGAUGACGGCCUUCGGGUUGUAAACCGCUUUCGCCUGUGACGAAGCGUGAGUGACGGUAAUGGGUAAAGAAGCACCGGCUAACUACGU